GAACGGGUCGAGUAACACGUGAGUAAUCUGCCCUUCACUUCGGGAUAACUACCGGAAACGGUGGCUAAUACCGGAUACGACACGGUUUCGCAUGGAAUUGUGUGGAAAGUUUUUCGGUGGGGGAUGUGCUCGCGGCCUAUCAGCUUGUUGGUGGGGUAAUGGCCUACCAAGGCUUCGACGGGUAGCCGGCCUGAGAGGGUGACCGGCCACACUGGGACUGAGACACGGCCCAGACUCCUACGGGAGGCAGCAGUGGGGAAUAUUGGACAAUGGGCGGAAGCCUGAUCCAGCAACGCCGCGUGAGGGAUGACGGCCUUCGGGUUGUAAACCUCUUUCACCUGUGACGAAGCGGAAGUGACGGUAGCAGGAGAAGAAGCACCGGCCAACUACGUGCCAGCAGCCGCGGUAAUACGUAGGGUGCGAGCGUUGUCCGGAAUUAUUGGGCGUAAAGGGCUCGUAGGCGGUUUGUCGCGUCGGGAGUGAAAACCAUGGGCUUAACUCAUGGCUUGCUUUCGAUACGGGCAGACUAGAGGUAUGCAGGGGAGAACGGAAUUCCUGGUGUAGCGGUGAAAUGCGCAGAUAUCAGGAGGAACACCGGUGGCGAAGGCGGUUCUCUGGGCAUUUACCUGACGCUGAGGAGCGAAAGUGUGGGGAGCGAACAGGAUUGGAU
rnacentral:rRNA from 1 species